UUCCAGCCAGCGCCGAGCGAUGGGCAUCUCUCGGGACAACUGGCACAAGCGCCGCAAAACCGGGGGCAAGAGAAAGCCCUACCACAAGAAGCGGAAGUAUGAGUUGGGGCGCCCAGCUGCCAACACCAAGAUUGGCCCCCGCCGCAUCCACACAGUCCGUGUGCGGGGAGGUAACAAGAAAUACCGUGCCCUGAGGUUGGACGUGGGGAAUUUCUCCUGGGGCUCAGAGUGUGAGUGAGGCCCUUUGGGAGUGGGUGGGAAAACGCACCUAAACGGUCUUAAGAUUCACCAAGUGGGCCUGGCGCGGUGGCUCACGCCUAUAAGUCCAGCACUUUGGGAGGCCGAGGCGGGCGGAUCACCUGAGGUCAGGAGUUCGAGUCCAGCCUAGGCAACAGAGCGAGACUCUCAGUAAAAAAAAAGAUUCAAGUGCUUUUAGCAGGUAGUCUGUGGCUUAGACCAAGGCAUUUGAAGUUUCUCCUUGCUGAAAGAUCUUAAGGUAGCUGGGGAGUUCUCUCCACCCAGGCUGUCCUGCUCCAAUCUCUUUUUUUGAGAUUGGGUCUCUGUUGCUCAGGCUGGAGUGCCAGUGGCGUGAUCUUGGUUCACUGCAGCCUCCGCCUCCUGGGUUGAAGUGAUUCUCCUGCCUCAACCUCCCAAGAAGCUGGGAUUACAGGCGUGUGCCAUCACACCCAGCUGCUUCUGUAUUUUUAGUAGAGACGGGGUUUCACCAUGUUGGCCAGGCUGGUCUCAAAUUCUUGGCUUUAAGUGAUCCACCCGCCUUGACCUCCCAAAGUGCUGGGGUUACGGGCGUGAGCCACCGUGCCCGACCUGCUCUGAUCUUUCUGAACUCUGCAGCCUGAGAGAUUGGGGCUGGUAAAGACUGCGGGUUGCCAAACAUAACUAGAAACGUGGGUUAGGGGGUUGUGGAAGACGAACUGAUGCCCCGUGGCUUGUAAAGGCUGAGAGUUCCCUUAUUUCUCCUUA
rnacentral:sRNA from 1 species